UAUAUAUAUAUAUAUAUAUAUAUAUAUAUAUAUAUAUAUAGAGAGAGAGAGAGAGAGAGAGAGAGAGAGAGAGAGAGAGAGAGUUGAGUUAGAAUACUAUCGGUAGUAAACGAGCCGUUUUACUACCGAUUUAUUUUCGAUGAUAGAACUUUCAAAUUGACGAUCGGCUCCGUUGAACAUGAUCUAUACCACUUGAAGUAUUUAGAAAUCAAAUUUCAAAUCUUUUCGACAUCAUUUAUCUAAUGAUCAAAGGGUUUCAAAAUUUGUAAUUUUAAUGGUCGAUAAGAGGCGUUUUCUUGUUUAACGGCGUAAAGAUAUCCAAAUCAAUUGAAUUUUUGUUAGAAAAUUCUUUAAACUAUUUAAAACAAGAUUUAUACUCUUGAUCUUGAUUACAAGACUCCUAUCAUUAUUUUUUAAAGAGUAUUCAUUUUCAGCCAUUCAUUUUUCUGUUCACUUGGCCUCCGUUUGGUUCGGGGUUAAGGAAAAAAUAACUAUUCCAGGGAUAGAGUUAAGUUCAGGGUUAAAGUGGGGUUAAAGUUUUUUUGUGUUUGGUUGGGGGUUAGAGUUAGUCUAGAAUAAUGAAAAAUAGUAUUUGGUUGGAGUAGGUGGGAUAAAAAGAUAAUGAUUGAUAAAGAAGGAUAAUGAUUGGUUGGAGUAUGUGUGAUAAAAAAGAUAGUGGGUUAUUAUGAAUAGAAAAUAGUGUUGGUUGGAGUUUGGUGGGGUUAGGUGAGGUUAGUUAACCCGGGAUAAUUUAUUUAAGGUGGGGUUAGCUAACCCCACCCAUUUUUUGGGAUGUUUGGGGAUAAAAUGAGGGUUAAAGGGUUAUUCCACCCCUUAACCCCGAACCAAACAAGAGCUUGAUGGAUAAAAGAAUCGAAAGUGUGUGAAAUUUGAUUUCUAGGUAGUUUAAAUGGUUUAGAUCAUAUUUAACGGAGUCGAUCGUCAAUUUGGAAGCUCUAUCAUCGAAAACAAAUCGGUAGUAAAACGGCUCGUUUACUACCGAUAGUAUUUUAGCUCAACUCUCUCUCUCUCUCUCUCUAUAUAUAUAUAUAUAUAUAUAUAGUUUAAUUACUAUAUUUUUAUGAGUAUAAAUUUGUAAAAAAUUUAUGCGUAUAAAAAAAUUUAUAUUUAUAAGAGUAUAUUAGCUCUAGCAUAUAUAUAUAUAUAUAUAUAUAUAUAUAUAUAUAUAUAUAUAUAUAUAUAUAUAUAUAUAUAUAUAGAGAGAGAGAGAGAGAGAGAGAGAGAGAGAGAGAGAGAGAGAAUC
rnacentral:lncRNA from 1 species